rnacentral:rRNA from 1 species
AUUGAACGCUGGCGGCAGGCCUAACACAUGCAAGUCGAACGGUAACAGGAAGAAGCUUGCUUCUUUGCUGACGAGUGGCGGACGGGUGAGUAAUGUCUGGGAAACUGCCUGAUGGAGGGGGAUAACUACUGGAAACGGUAGCUAAUACCGCAUAAUGUCGCAAGACCAAAGAGGGGGACCUUCGGGCCUCUUGCCAUCGGAUGUGCCCAGAUGGGAUUAGCUAGUAGGUGGGGUAACGGCUCACCUAGGCGACGAUCCCUAGCUGGUCUGAGAGGAUGACCAGCCACACUGGAACUGAGACAGGGCCCAGACUCCUACGGGAGGCAGCAGUGGGGAAUAUUGCACAAUGGGCGAAAGCGUGAUGCAGCUAUCCCGGGUGUAGGAAGAAGUCUUUCGGGUUGUAAAGUACUUUGGGGGGGGAAGAAGGGAAAAAAGUUAAUACCUUUGCUCUUUGACGUUACCCGAAGAAGAAGCACCGGCUAACUCCGUG